rnacentral:snRNA from 1 species
GUGCUUGCUUCGGCAGCAUCUACACUAAAAUUGGAACGGUACAGAGAUUAGCAUGAGCCCUGUGCAAGGAUGACGUGCAAAUUUGUGAAGCAUUCCAUAUAUAU